rnacentral:snoRNA from 1 species
AAGCAACUAUCCUGAGUGUGCAGUAGCCACUCACAGCAACCUUCCUGGUAGUGGAUGCAGCCUGUAGUUUAUAUGGAAUUCCCUAGGGGACCCUGGAGACAGUU